UAGGGAAUCUUCCACAAUGGACGCAAGUCUGAUGGAGCAACGCCGCGUGAGUGAAGAAGGUCUUCGGAUCGUAAAGCUCUGUUGUUGGUGAAGAAGGAUAGAGGCAGUAACUGGUCUUUAUUUGACGGUAAUCAACCAGAAAGUCACGGCUAACUACGUGCCAGCAGCCGCGGUAAUACGUAGGUGGCAAGCGUUGUCCGGAUUUAUUGGGUGUAAAGCGAGCGCAGGCGGAAUGAUAAGUCUGAUGUGAAAGCCCACGGCUCAACCGUGGAACUGCAUCGGAAACUGUCAUUCUUGAGUGCAGAAGAAGGAGAGUGGAACUCCAUGUGUAAGCGGUGGAAUGCGUAGAUAUAUGGAAAGAACACCAGUGGCGAGCGUNUCUCUGGUCUGCAACUGACGCUGAGGCUCGAAAGCAUGGGUAGCGAACAGGAUUAGAUACCCUGGUAGUCCAUGCCGUAAAACGAUGAGCGCUAGGUGUUG
rnacentral:rRNA from 1 species